AUGAUUCUAAAAGCAAAUCAACUGAAAAAUCAUUCAGUGGCAAAAUUUGAUACUCACCCCAUCAAAAUAUGGGUUCAGAAACACUGCACCGAAGAAAAAACUUGGGAAGAGGUUCUACCUUCAAAGACAGGAAGCAUCCACCCAAACAUGCAUCGCUUUGACAAUAAGGCACUUCAACCAUGGAAUGUGGAAUUUCCUCAGGGUUGUGAUGCCAACACUUUUCUGACUUCCUUACUGAUACUAUUUGUAUUCAUGAUGUUUGUGGCAGCAGCUGCCUGUGAAGCCUUAAGGAAUAAACAGAAGCCCCAACCCUUCCAAGUUGAGGCAAGAACUUUUGGGUGCCACUGCAACCAACCAAAACAAGGCUGUAGGCC
rnacentral:lncRNA from 1 species